GAGGCCCCCCACCAACCAGGGAGCCUCAUGUGGGGCUUGAUCCCAGGACCCUUGAUCCCUGGAACCAUGACCGGAGCUGAAGGAAGACACUUAAUCGACUGAGCCACCCAGGUGCUCCUACUUGAAGAUUUCAAAGAGUGAAAAUCCUAAAUAUUUUUACUACAAGAAAGUAAUGGUAGUGAUGUGAGAUAUGGAACGUAACAUUAUAAAAUGUCAGAACUAGAGGAGUUCAAGAAGAUCAAUUUGUUCAAAUCUGUAAUUUACAAUUAAGAAACAGUUAUCAACCUAAAAGGAAAUCACAUAACUAAGUAUUAACAGGUAGAGGUUGCUUUUCCUCAAAAAUCACCGAACCAGCCCCUCACAUUACCUAAGACCAGAUGAACCAAUAUCCUGGAGAAACCACCAAAGAGAGAUUACCUUCAAACCUGCUGGAAAAGACCUUAUCAAUGACUCCUGUCUCCAAUACAGAAGUUAAAUAAUGAGAAGUUGUUCCUUGGAUACCUAUUUCUCAACCACACAUCCAACAAGAAUUGGAAGUUGCACCUACUCCACAUCUUAAACUUGUUUGGAGAAGUUUAGAAGCAAUCGGUGUGCAUAGAAAUGAACUACUAACACAAGAUAUUUGGAAAAUGCAUAGGAGUACCACAUAGAGGUUCCCCUAAAACCACUGGAAAAGUAUUCUC